UAGGGAAUAUUAGAAAUGGCCGAAAGUCUGAUCUAGCAACACCGCGUGUGCGAUGAAGGCCUUCGGGUUGUAAAGCACUUUUUGGAAGGAUUAGGAGGGAAUGUACUUCCAGAAUAAGUCUCGGCUAACUACGUGCCAGCAGCCGCGGUAACACGUAGGAGGCGAACGUUAUCCGGAUUUACUGGGCGUAAAGCGCGUGUAGGUGGUUCUGUAAGUAGGGCGUGAAAGCUCCUGGCUCAACUGGGAGAGGCCGUUCUAAACUGCAGAGCUAGAGGAUGGUAGAGGGAGGUGGAAUUCCGGGUGUAGCGGUGGAAUGCGCAGAUAUCCGGAGGAACACCAGUGGCGAAGGCGGCCUCCUGGACCAUCCCUGACACUCAGACGCGAAAGCUAGGGUAGCAAACGG
rnacentral:rRNA from 1 species